UUAAUUGAAGCCAAAACAGAGGCCUAUCAUUGUUAAUGAUAUCAUUGAAAUUAUUUUCCAAUUAAG